rnacentral:rRNA from 1 species
UACGGAGGGGGGCUAGCGUUGUUCGGAAUUACUGGGCGUAAAGCGCGCGUAGGCGGCUUUGUAAGUUAGAGGUGAAAGCCCGGAGCUCAACUCCGGAACUGCCUUUAAGACUGCAUCGCUAGAAUCAUGGAGAGGUGAGUGGAAAUUCCCGAGUGUAGAGGUGAAAAUUCGUAGAUAUUUCGGGAAGAACACCAGUGGCGAAGGCGACUCACUGGACAUGUAUUGACGCUGAGGUGCGAAACGUGGGGGACAAACAGGG